AUUUCGGAAGCUAAGCAGGGUCGGGCCUGGUUAGUACUUGGAUGGGAGACGUCCUCGGAAGGCCAGGUUGC
rnacentral:rRNA from 10 species